GGCCCGAUAGCUCAGUCGGUAGAGCAAGGGAUUGAAAAUCCCUGUGUCCCUGGUUCGAUUCCAGGUCGGGCCACCA
rnacentral:tRNA from 2 species